UACAGAGGGAGCAAGCGUUGUUCGGAAUUACUGGGCGUAAAGGGCGCGUAGGCGGUCCGAUAAGUCCCGUGUGAAAUCCCUCGGCUCAACUGAGGAAUGGCACGGGAAACUGACGGGCUUGAGUUCGGGAGAGGGAAGCGGAAUUCCGGGUGUAGCGGUGAAAUGCGUAGAUAUCCGGAGGAACACCGGUGGCGAAGGCGGCUUCCUGGACCGACACUGACGCUGAGGCGCGAAAGCUAGGGGAGCAAACGGGAUUAGAACU
rnacentral:rRNA from 1 species